GGGGCGAUGGUGGAACGGUAGACACUGGAGACUUAAAAUCUCCUGGCCGAAAGGCCGUGAGGGUUCGAGUCCCUCUCGCCCCA
rnacentral:tRNA from 1 species